GACGAACGCUGGCGGCGUGCUUAACACAUGCAAGUCGAACGAAGUGGCGAACGGGUGAGUAACGCGUAAUCAACCUGCCCUUCAGAGGGGGAUAACAGUUGGAAACGACUGCUAAUACCGCAUACUGAGGGAGGGGAUUGCGUCUGAUUAGCUAGUUGGGGGGGUAACGGCCCACCAAGGCGAAGACCAGUAGCCGGGCCGAGGGGAUGGACGGGCACAAUGGGACUGAGACACGGCCCAGACUUCUACGGGAGGCAGCAGUGGGGAAACUUCCGCAAUGGAAGGAAGGCUGACGGAGCAACGCCGCGUGAGUGAUGACGGGCUUCGGGUUGUAAAGCUCUGUUAAUCGGGACGCGGUACCUGACUAGAAAGCCACGGCUAACUACGUGCCAGCAGCCGCGGUAAUUC
rnacentral:rRNA from 1 species